rnacentral:rRNA from 1 species
CCUACGGGUGGCAGCAGUGAGGAAUAUUGGUCAAUGGACGAGAGUCUGAACCAGCCAAGUAGCGUGAAGGAUGACUGCCCUAUGGGUUGUAAACUUCUUUUAUAUGGGAAUAAAAUGUUCCACGUGUGGGAUUUUGUAUGUACCAUAUGAAUAAGGAUAGGCUAACUCCGUGCCAGCAGCCGCGGUAAUACGGAGGAUCCGAGCGUUAUCCGGAUUUAUUGGGUUUAAAGGGAGCGUAGGUGGAUUGUUAAGUCAGUUGUGAAAGUUUGCGGCUCAACCGUAAAAUUGCAGUUGAAACUGGCAGUCUUGAGUGCACACAGGGAUGCCGGAAUUCAUGGUGUAGCGGUGAAAUGCUUAGAGAUCAUGAAGAACUCCGAUCGCGAAGGCAAGUGUCCGGGGUGCAACUGACGCUGAGGCUCGAAAGUGUGGGUGUCAAACAGGAUUAGAUACCCGAGUAGUC